rnacentral:tRNA from 1 species
GGCCGACUAGCUCAGUUGGUUAGAGCGUGGUGCUAAUAAGACCCCCAUCCCCGGGGCACGCCAAGGUCGUCGGUUCGAUCCCGGCGUUGGCCA